rnacentral:lncRNA from 1 species
AUGGAUCCUGCUUUCUACUUUCCAUCGGGAGUUUCUCUGCUCCUGCCUUCCCUGCAGCCUAUCUCAGAGGACCCCUGGAUGGAGAAGCUAAAAAGUGGAGGACAGAGGAGGAAGGCCAGGCCUGACUCAAGGGCACAGCCCUGCCAGGUUGGAAAUAUCCAAUAUCAUCUGAGAAGUCAGACCUGCUUAUGGGACCAAGCAGCUGAAAGAAAGGAAGCAGAAGAAAAGACCUUGAUCCUGACUGUGAAGGCACAGUUACCCACUUCAGAUGAGACCCCCUUAGAGCUUCACUAUUUAACGUGGGAGCCACUAGCCACACGUGGCCACUGAACAUUUGUAAACGUAGCAAGUUUGAAGUGAGGUGUUCUGUAAGGGUAUAAUACAAACCUGAUUUUGAAGACUUAGUACAAAAAAAGAUAAAGUACCUUAUUUAUCUUUCAUAUAUUGCUUAUUUGCUUACAUGAAAAUAUUUUACAUAUGUUGGAUAAAAUGAAUCAUUGAAAUUAAAGUUACCUGUUUUUUUUUUUUUCCACUUCAAAAAUGUGGUCUCUAGAUAACUUAAAAUUACAUAUGUGGCUCCCAUGAUAUUUCUGUUGGGCAGCGUCAUCUUAGUUCAGACAUGUCAGCUCUCCGGGGAACAGGGAGCAGGGAGGCAGGCGAGGAGGGGCUGCAGCGGGGGGAGGCAGGCGAGGAGGGGCUGCAGUGGGGGGAGGCAGGAGCACCCCUCCCCGGCAUUGCAGAUCACUGCUUGAAUCAACAGUGGCCAGGGCCACAGAGUCACGUGAUCUGAAACAUGGUAACCGAGGUGGAAGGACCUGUUUGUGGCUCCUUUGCUCAGAUGUGGACCCUGGGCUGGGCAGGCACCUGGGCACCUUAGAUUCUUCUCCAUUAUAAUUAAAGUUAUUUUACUUGUUCAUCUACACAAAACACCUCUACUGAACUUCUGCUAUGUGGUGGCACCCUUCUGGGCUCCAGGAGUACAGUCUGGGGUAACAAAAGAAAAAUCUGACCUUAUGGAGUAGAUACUAGCAAGGCAAAAAAGGCAAUGGACAAAUAAGAAUCCCAGUCUACCCGUGCCAUGGGGGAUACUGCUGUGAAGCAAAAGGAGGCAGGUGAGGUUGCAGAGAGCACAUGGUGAUGCUGGUGGUUUAAUCACUAGGUCCCAUCUGACUCUUGCAACCCCACAGACCGUAGCCCACCAGGCUCUCAUGGGAUUUCCCAGGCAAGAGUACUGGAGAGGGUUGCCAUUUCCUUCUCCAGGGAUUGAACCGAGGUCUCCUGUAUUGCAGGCAGUCUCCUGCAUUUCAGGUGGAUUCUUUACCAAUUGAGGCGCCAGGGAAGCCCACAGAGAGCACGUGGGGAGGUGCUAUUUUAGAGGGUGGUGAGGGGAGGACCUCACUGACAUCUGUUGGAGACGAGAAUACGGUGAAGGUGAGAGCUCUGAAGAUACCUGGGGGGAGAGAAGACCCUGUGGCAGGAGAGGACCCUCCACUGCCUGUUCUUGCAGGAGGCAGGAAGACAACAUGCCUGGAGUGGGCUGCAGAAGUGAAGGCCCGGGGUCAGUUCCUCAGAUUGAUUGGAAGCCCCUGGAGGGCUUGGAGCAGAGCAGUGAUAUUAUCUGUCUAGGUUUUAAAAGGAUGAGUCUGGACACUUGCUGAGAAUAGAGUGGGCAGGCAGACCCGGAAGCAGAGAGCCCAGUUUCUAAGUUAUUAUAAUAAUCUGGGGAAGAAACGGUGGGGCCUUAGGCCAAGGCUGUAGCAGUGACAAAGAAGCCUUGGAGGCAGAGCUCAAAGGAUUUGCUGAUGGAUUGGAUAUGGGGCGCGGGAGAGGGCAGGAGUCAAGGAUGACUCCAAGGGUCUCGGCCUGAGCAAUUAGAAAAAUGCAGCUGCCAUCAGCUGAGAUGGGAAGACUGGGAGGAGCAGGCUUAGUCAGGGAAGAUGCGAUUCAGGUUGGGAGCCAUACAGGGUGAGAUCUCUAGCAGACAGGAGACAAGAGGAGAUGGCACGUAGGCAAUUGAAUAUAUGAGUCUGGAGUUUUGAAAACAGGUCAGGGCUUGAGAAAUCAAUCUCUCAGACCUCAAGGAACAAAUGAGAAUCAUAACAUAGAGAUAAUACCUCAAGGCUUCAGAGAUUAUCUGAGGACUGAGUAUAGAUGGGAACGAGAAGGUUGUAGGCAGGGGCCCCUUCUCUUAAGAGUGGGGAAGAUGGCGAGGAACUAGCAACAAAAUACAAAAGAGAAUGGCCUGCGGGAUAGGACUGGGAGCCUGGAGACCAGUGCCCUGGGGAUGGGGCUUUCCCACCCACCUCUGUCUGGCCCUCAAGAUCACACUUGGUCGCCUGGUACCUAUUUUAACACUCACUGCAAAGAGUUGUUUUGAUGUCUGACUUCCCUUUGUAACCCCAGGUCUAAUAUAGAUUCUGGCAUUGAGUAAGCUCAGUAAAUAUUUGUCAAAUAAAUCAGCAAGCA